UGGCGGCACGCCUAAACAUGCAAGUCGAACGAAGUAGCAAUACUUAGUGGCAGACGGGUGAGUAACAUGUGGGUAUCUGCCCUUUGGCCUGGAAUAACACGAGGAAACUUGUGCUAAUACCGGAUAAGUCUUUACGGAGAAAGCUUUAUGCACCAUUGGAUGAGCCUGCACUUGAUUAGUUUGUUGGUGGGGUAAUGGCCUACCAAGACUGUGAUCAAUAGCUGAUUUGAGAGGAUGAUCAGCCACAUUGGGACUGAGACACGGCCCAAACUCCUACGGGAGGCAGCAGUGGGGAAUCUUGCACAAUGGAGGAAACUCUGAUGCAGCGAUGCCGCGUGAGUGAAGAAGGCCCUUGGGUUGUAAAGCUCUUUCGUCGGGGAAGAAAAUGACUGUACCCGAAUAAGAAGGUCCGG
rnacentral:rRNA from 1 species